rnacentral:lncRNA from 1 species
UCCAAAUAUUUCCAUUUUCUUUACCCUAGCUCCCUAAGAAAAUUCUGGAGAAGACUCUGGUGUCCUCUAAGUAUGGAGUUUUCACCAUAUGGAAAAGAAAUAGUAAAAUCCAUCACCAAAAUGAUGGAUUCCUUGAAAACAUCCUUGCGAGUCAAGCCCCUCCAUGAUUGUACUCAACUGCAAGAAGUAGAAGAACAUCAGAAAUGUGGCCUCUUCCACAUCUCCUGCACAGUUGCUGCAUUAAAAAAAAAUCCUCCCCAAUGAAAGAGAAGAUAAAGAAGAAAAGAGGAAAAGAGAAGAGGGACAAAGAGAAUCACUUCCAGGUCAGUAAUAGUUAAGAGCAAAGGCAUUCAAGUCCCUGUUAAGUCAUAUGUUAGGACUUGUAGAUUAUUGACAAAAAGAAUCAUGGAUUGUCCUUAGUUAAAUAUAUUCUUAGAGCUAGUUACAUAAUUCAAGGUGUCCACCAGAAUUGUAGUAAGACACAUAUAAUGUUAUAAGAACAG